rnacentral:rRNA from 1 species
UGGGGAAUCUUGCACAAUGGGGGCAACCCUGAUGCAGCGACGCCGCGUGAGCGAUGAAGGUAUUCGAAUCGUAAAGCUCUGUCCUAGGGGAAGAUAAUGACGGUACCAUAGGAGGAAGCCCCGGCUAACUACGUGCCAGCAGCCGCGGUAAUACGUAGGGGGCGAGCGUUGUCCGGAAUUACUGGGCGUAAAGGGUUAGCAGGCGGCAUGGCAAGUCCGAUGUAAAAGGCGAAGGCUCAACCUUCGUAAGCAUCGGAAACUGUCAAGCUUGAGUGAAGGAGAGGCAAGUGGAAUUCCUAGUGUAGCGGUGGAAUGCGUAGAUAUUAGGAGGAAUACCGGUGGCGAAGGCGACUGGCUGGACUUCAACUGACGCUGAGGAACGAAAGCGUGGGUAGCAAACAGG